UACGUAGGGUGCGAGCGUUAAUCGGAAUUACUGAGCGUAAAGCGUGCGCAGGCGGUUCGCCAAGUCAGGUGUGAAAUCCCCGGGCUUAACCUGGGAAUUGCGCUUGAAACUAGCGGGCUUGAGUGUGGCAGAGGGGGGUGGAAUUCCACGUGCAGCAGUGAAAUGCGUAGAGAUGUGGAGGAACACCGAUGGCGAAGGCGGUUGCCUGGAGCUUUGCUGACGCUGAGGCGCGAAAGCGUGGGGAGCGAUCCGG
rnacentral:rRNA from 1 species